rnacentral:lncRNA from 1 species
GGCUUCCCCCAACACACACAGGCUGGCAGUGCGGGGGAAUUAGCCUCAAAACAACCCUCAGCCGAUGACUGGUGGGGUGGGCUUUUAAAUACUCCUCUUCCUUGCCCCUCAGGGUGGGAAGCAUCUCUCCAUCCCUUCCACUUCCCUCAGGGGCCAAUGAAUGGAUGGGGUUUCCCAAAGCCACACCCACUCUUUCCUGGCCAGCCAACAACGGACUCCACUGUAGGUGUUGAAGGCAAAUCUACGCCGUUUCCCAGAAGUCUCUGCAGCACCAACCCUCAGCUGCCCACUGCUGUACGCUGCUCAUUAGCACACCCUUCGCGGGCUCCAGCCCUUCCUGUCUCACGUCUCCACUCUCGCCUCCACUCUACCACCUCCCAAAUAAACUGCUUGCCCUCCAAUUCUUGGCUCAGGGUCUGCUUCUGGGGGUCCCCAAUCUAAGACCCUUCCAUGACCCUUGAAACAAAGAUCCACUCAAGUUGUCCACACCCUCUCUCCUCUCUGUGUGCUUUAUUUUCUCAGCAGAAUUUUAUCACGAUGUGAGAUCAUUUUGUUUCUAAGUUAGUGUGUGUCUCUCUCGAUAAUCUAGGGGUUCCAUGAGGGCUGAGAGCCUCCCUGUCUUGUUUAUU